GACGAACGCUGGCGGCGUGCUUAACACAUGCAAGUCGAACGGAAAGGCCCUGCUAUUGUGGGGUGCUCGAGUGGCGAACGGGUGAGUAACACGUGAGUAACCUGCCCUAGACUUUGGGAUAACUUCAGGAAACUGGGGCUAAUACCGGAUAGGAGCUCCUGCUGCAUGGUGGGGGUUGGAACGUUUCGGCGGUCGGGGAUGGACUCGCGGCUUACCAGCUUGUUGGUGGGGUAGUGGCUUACCAAGGCUUUGACGGGUAGCCGGCCUGGGAGGGGGACCGGCCACAUUGGGACUGAGAGACGGCCCAGACGCCUACGGGAGGCAGCAGGGGGGAAUAUGGCACAAUGGGCGGAAGCCUGAUGCAGCAACGCCGCGGGCGGGAUGACGGCCUGCGGGUUGUAAACCGCUUUCGCCUGUGACGAAGCGUGAGUGACGGUAAUGGGUAAAGAAGCACCGGCUAACUACGUG
rnacentral:rRNA from 1 species